rnacentral:rRNA from 1 species
UACGGAGGGUGCAAGCGUUGUUCGGAAUUAUUGGGCGUAAAGCGCGCGCAGGUGGCUCAUUACGCCCGGCGUGAAAGCCCCCGGCCUAACCGGGGAGGGUCGUCGGGGACGGGUGAGCUUGAGGGUAUCAGGGGCUGGUGGAAUUCCCGGUGUAGUGGUGAAAUGCGUAGAGAUCGGGAGGAACACCCGUGGCGAAGGCGGCCAGCUGGGAUACACCUGACACUGAGGCGCGAAGGCGUGGGGAGCGAACGGGAUUAGAUACCCGCGUAGUCCCUGAGCGGGCUGG